AUGGCUUGCUUGUGUGACAUAGCUCUUGGCAGUGACUUGCUUCUGUCUCGCUCGUGGACCAGCAGGACAAUAAAAAUGAUGGAGCUUUUGGUGCUCAGCACCUUGAAAUGGAGGAUGCAAGUUGUUACUGCUUGCUCGUUUAUUGGCUACUUCCUUUGCAAAUUCAAUGAUCAUGACACACCCUCCAUGCUCGCAUUCUCCCGCUCGAACCUCAUCCCGAGCACAGAGCUGAUUUUUUGGUGUUCAGACCUUCCGAGAUUGCUGGAAGUGUUGCACCUGCUUCAUUUGGGGAGCGCAGUACUUCAGUGGUCGAAAGGGGUACAACUAAUUGCAAGUAUAUAA
rnacentral:rRNA from 1 species